AGUGAACGCUGGCGGUAGGCCUAACACAUGCGAGUCGAACGGCAGCACAGUAAGAGCUUGCUCUUACGGGUGGCGAGUGGCGGACGGGUGAGGAAUACAUCGGAAUCUACUUUUUCGUGGGGGAUAACGUAGGGAAACUUACGCUAAUACCGCAUACGACCUACGGGUGAAAGCAGGGGAUCUUCGGACCUUGCGCGAUUGAAUGAGCCGAUGUCGGAUUAGCUUGUUGGCGGGGUAAAGGCCCACCAAGGCGACGAUCCGUAGCUGGUCUGAGAGGAUGAUCAGCCACACUGGAACUGAGACACGGUCCAGACUCCUACGGGAGGCAGCAGUGGGGAAUAUUGGACAAUGGGCGCAAGCCUGAUCCAGCCAUACCGCGUGGGUGAAGAAGGCCUUCGGGUUGUAAAGCCCUUUUGUUGGGAAAGAAAAGCAGCAGGUUAAUACCCCGCUGUUCUGACGGUACCCAAAGAAUAAGCACCGGCUAACUUCGUG
rnacentral:rRNA from 1 species